ACUUGGAUAACUGUAGUAAUUCUAGAGCUAAUACAUGAAUAUGUGCUUUGGUUCACGCCAAAUGCGAAUUUAUUAGAUCAAAACCAACCGUUUUCGGCCGUUAAAUUGGUGACUCUGGAUAACUAUUCUGAUCGCAUGACCUUGUGUCGGCGACGUAUCUUUCAAGUGUCUGCCCUAUCAACUUAAGUUGGUGAGUUAGUUGCUCACCAUGGUUAUAACGGGUAACGGAGAAUCAGUGUUCGAUACCGGAGAGGGAGCCUUAGAAACGGCUACCACAUCUAAGGAAGGCAGCAGGCGCGCAAAUUACCCACUCUCAGAACGAGGAGGUAGUGAAUUUAAAUAGCGAUGAUGAACUCUUAUGAGGCUCGUCAAUCGAAAUGAGUACAAUUUAAAUCCUUUAACGAGUACCAAUUGGAGGGCAAGUCUGGUGCCAGCAGCCGCGGUAAUUCCAGCUCCAAUAGCGAAUAUUAAAUUUGUUGCAGUUAAAAAGCUCGUAGUUGGAUCCAAGGUUAGGCAUGCCUGUCUGUUCUUAGUAGCAUGACUGUGUGUGUCUGCCUUUAUUAGUUGAAUGUUCAUUAUGGUGGUCUUCAUCGACUGCUAUGAUGUGCUCAACACGUUUACCUUGAAAAAAUCAGAGCGAUCAAGGCAGGCCUUCGUGCUUGUAUGUUGUUGCAAGGAAUAAUAGAAUAGGACUUCGGUUCUAUUUUGUUGGUUUUGAGAAUUGAAGUAAUGAACAAUAGAGACAGUCGGGGGCAUUUGUAUGGUGGCGUUAGAGGUGAAAUUCUGAGAUCGUCGCCAGACAAACUACUGCGAAAGCAUUUGCCAAGGAUGUCUUCAUUAAUCAAGAACGAAAGUCAGAGGUCCGAAGACGAUCAGAUACCGUCCUAGUUCUGACCAUAAACGAUGCCGACCUACAAUCGGGGGUGGUUUAUUAUAUUGACCCUCCCGGCUGUCCUCAGGAAACUUUAAGUUGGUUCUGGGGGGAAUAUGGUCUCAAGACUGAAACUUAAAGGAAUUGACGGAAGGGCACCACCAGGAGUGGAGCCUGCGGCUUAAUUUGACUCAACACGGGGAAUCUCACCCGGUCCGGACACUGGUAGGAUGGACAGAUUGAUAGCUCUUUCUUGAUUCAGUGGGUGGUGGUGCAUGGCCGUUCUUAGUUGGUGGAGUGAUUUGUCUGGUUAAUUCCGAUAACGAACGAGACUCUGUCCUGCUAAAUAGUCCAGUGGCAUCAAUCACUAUGUGAUUACAGCUGCUGUUACUUCUUAGAGGGAUUCGCGGAUUUAAACCGCAAGAAAUAGAGCAAUAACAGGUCUGUGAUGCCCUUAGAUGUCCGGGGCCGCACGCGCGCUACAUUGACAG
rnacentral:rRNA from 1 species